AAGUCGUAACAAGGUUUCCGUAGGUGAACCUGCGGAAGGAUCAUUCAUAAUCAAGUGUUUUUAUGGCACUUUAAAAAAUCCAUAUCCACCUUGUGUGCAAUGUCAUCUCACUGGAAGGUCACGGCUGUAAAAAUCCGGCGGCCAACCUUUGGGAUUUAUAUCUACUCAGAACUUUUAGUGAUUUUGUCUGAAACAUAUUAUGAAUAACUUAAUUCAAAAUACAACUUUCAACAACGGAUCUCUUGGCUCUC
rnacentral:misc_RNA from 1 species